AGGUACAUACAGUUACUUGUGUAUGUUGGGCUCCUGUAGUUCCUUCAGUCUACCAGAAGCUUAUUGCCCUAAACACAGAUUAGUGUUCUCUUCUUUGCCUCGGUCACUGGUACUCUUGUACAAAGUCAAAGGUAUAAUGUUUCUGUCCUCAUUUCUUUUUCUAACCUGCAUCAUCACUUUUACAUUCUAUAUUGACAAGUCUGUUUCAUCUUCUCUCAUUUUUUUUCUUUUUGCUUCCUUCUUUGCUCUCUCUUGUUUUUCGGUUACCUAUUUGUGUUGAGUAGCUCAACUUUCAUAGUUCUUUAUUGGCAAUUAAAUCAUACCUUUUCUAUUAGAACGUGAACAGCCCACCAGGUUUAUUCAACAAAUACUGAGAGCCUAGUAUGUACCAGACACUUUUGGGGAGCUUGCAUGCAACAGUACCUGAAAUAAAGAUCUCUGUUCUCAUGAAGCUUACAAUCUUGGAGUCUUUGUGUUUUUCUCAGCUAAUUUUUCACUAGGCUCGCUAUAAGAAAGAUUUUUCUUUUUUUGUUUAUCUUUUGUUUUGUUUUGUUUCUUUUGUUUAUUCCACAGGUUCUGCUUUUCCAGUUGUUCAAGGUUACAGCAUGUAUUAAUAUGAUAGAAAAGAAGACAUUACACACUAAAUUUCUAAAAUUACUAACAAAAAGUAUGUGUUACGAUGGACCUGCUGUGGGGCUAGAAGUUGGAUGGAUGAUGAAAGUCAUUGCAAAGGGUGGAUAACAUCAUAAAGAUAAGGUCCAAAGAUCCAGACUGAUGAUAAGCCCAAAGCUCAUUGAGGACAAUUACCACUGGAUUCUCCUACAGAAGGCUGCAAACACAGUUGUGGAUUUUUACUAAAGUUACAAAGAUUACAUCUUAAAUCUUUAUUAAAAUGUGCACAGGCGAUCACUAUAUGUGAGGCUGUGAUAACUAAUUUUAGUGUCAGUUUGACUGGGUUAAGAGAUGUCUUGAUAGCUGGUAAAAUAUUGUUUCCGAGUGUGUAUGUGACGAUGUUUCUAGAAGGAGUGAGCAUUUGAAUCAGCAAACUGAAUAAAGAAGAUCCACCCUCACCAAUAUGAGUGGGCAUUGUCUAAACUUUAGAGAGCCUGAAUAGAGCCAAAAUGUGGAAAGAGAGUGAAUUCUCUUUCUUCAUAAGCUGAGACUUUCAUCUUCCCCUGCCCUUGAAUAUCAAAACUCCUGGUUCUCAGGCCUUUGGAUUUGGGACUUACACCAGCAGCAGCCCCAACCCCAGUUCUCAGGCCUUUGGCCUCAGAAUGGAAGUUACACCAACAGCUGCCCUGGUUCUCAGGCCUUUGAACUCAGACUGAACUGCACCACAGUCUUUCCUGGGUCUUCAGAAUACAGAAGGCAGAUCAUGCACCUUCUUGACCUCCAUAAUCAUGGACAUGGAUGAAGCUGGAAACCAUAAUCCUUAGCAAAUCAACACAGGAACAGAAAACCAAACACCACAUGCUCUCAGUGAGACCAAUUGAUUGGCAGCAAAAUGAGAACAGCCUGGAAGCAGCCCAGUGAUGAGUUAUACCCAUAGCCAUUUUUCUGUGGAAAAGGCCAAAAGGACAAAUGACAUGAUGGUUGAAAGUAUAAAGCAGCCUCCUGAUAAGCAGUUGUGAAAUUACCAUUUAUUGGGACAACUUCAUCACAGUCUGUCUGUCUGUCAGAGGAUUGACCAAACACUGACUAUCACACCUAUUUUGGUGAGUUUUUCAAUUGUUUCCCUUCCAUAAGAUGCCUUGAGUGAUUUUCAAAUUUGCAAAAAUAGAGAGGUAAGUACAAUACCCAAAGUAACCUACCAAGGUAAGUGAAAGGUAUAAAUUGAAAAACCAACGUAAUAAACACUAUAAACAUAAAAGGUACACUGACCUAAAUCAAAACAAGGUAGACAUUUUGUGGAUUGGAUUUCCAUCAAACUCAUUAACAACUUUCUUUAGUUUUUGUUGAAGAAAAUCAUAGAUGUACUCUUAGGGUAUUCUUAUAGUACUACUAACGUUAUUAAAAUCUAAUGAACGUUACACCAAUUUUGGAAAAGGAGAAGUGAACAAACCUUUGUCUUUCUUAACCUCCUUAAGCUUCAGCUGACUUAUCUGCAAGAUAAAAACAAUACUGCUACCUACCUCAUGGCUUGUUUUAAGGACCGAAAGUAAUAAUGCAAAUAAACCUCCACUUGGUUUGCAUUAAUGGCUUAUAAGUUUUCUGAGCUAGUCAUGAUACUUGUUGCUAUACACACUUUAUUUCUUUUCAUUCUACAAGUGAUGUUUUGAGUAUUAUUUUGGAAUAAGAACUUUUAUUUUUUUUUACAAGAGAAAAAGAAUCAAAGAACUGAAGGUUCUUAACUUCAUACAAUACAAAGUGGUUAAGGUUGGAAUCAUCCUAAGGUCUACAUGGGUUUCAGGCACUUGAUUUUCUUGGGAUCCAAGCCAAAUGUAUAAGCUUUAAAAUGCUUGUUUUAAGUUCAUAGAAUAUUGACUUGGUAAGUCGGUAUGAAGAAAUAAUGUUAUUGGCUUUCAUGUAUAGACGAGCAAUUAAAAUUUAUUGUGAUUUUGAAAAUUAACUGAGCCCCAAAUGAAUGUUAGUUUUUAAAGUGAUCUUUUUGGGAGGCUGUCUUGAGUACUCCUUCCAUUGUCUAGAGUAUUUUGAGAUUGCCAACUCAAAUAGUGAUCCAGGUAAACUGGUUUGAUUAUUUGAGUCACAUCUCUUAUUUUAUUUUUAAAGAAAAUAUUGUUUUAAUCAAUUUGUUUAUCCACUAUAUUAGCUUCUGGCUCUUUCCAAACAAUAAAAUCAUCCCCCAAAAGAUCAAUACUCUUUGAUCUUAAAUGUAUUAAAAAGAAUAUAUAUAGGCUUGAAAUAUGUCUAGAUGUAUGGGUCCUAGUAUUAUUUUAAGUAAUUACACACUUUGGAGUACAGCCACGGUGACUUAACAAUAGGAACUUUCUCUGAGAAAUGUGUCAUUAGACAAUUUCAUCAUUGUGCAAACAUCAUACACUAUACUUACACAACCUACGUGGUGUAGUACACUACAUGCCAAAGCUAUAUGGUAUCGCCUAUUGCUCCUAGGCUACAGGCCUGUAUAACAUGUUACUGUACUGAAUGCUGUCGGCAAUUGUAACACAGUAAAAAGUGAGGCAGUUUCUGCUUUCUGCACAUGGCUAGCCAGCUUUCCCAACACUCCAGAUGGAUUAAAGACUUAAACAUAAGACCUAACACCAUAAAAACCCUAGAAGAAAAUCUAGGCAAAACCAUU